UACGUAGGGAGCAAGCGUUGUCCGGAAUCAUUGGGCGUAAAGAGCGCGUAGGCGGCCAGAUAAGUCCGGUGUGAAAGUCACAGGCUCAACCUGUGAAUGCCGCUGGAAACUGUCUGGCUAGAGUCCGGGAGGGGCGAGUGGAAUUCCUGGUGUAGCGGUGAAAUGCGCAGAUAUCAGGAGGAACACCAAUGGCGAAGGCAGCUCGCUGGAACGGUACUGACGCUGAGGCGCGAAAGCGUGGGGAGCAAACAGG
rnacentral:rRNA from 1 species